rnacentral:lncRNA from 1 species
AUGUCACCUGAGAGUCAAUGGGCAACGAUCAAAUUUCACCUUGAGCAGAUUCUUUUGUUUGCUUUUUAGUCACAAAUAGCUUGGCCCUAAGUGGUGGCUCCCAUUCUUGUAAGAUGCGUUUAUUCAUCGUGUAAUCACCAGUUCCCUGUAGUGGGGGCGUGGAUGGAGUGUCAGAGGCUCCUGCUGGUCUUUAGGGUGUCUGGCCUCCAGGAAUCCUAGAGGUAGUAUUUGGAGAGAUUUUUAAAAGCUUUGUUUCUGUGACCAGCAAAACCUGGAUUUGACACUGAGGUCAGCCCGUUUCAGCCAGUGACGUAACCUGUCUUUUUGCCCCAGUAAAUUGGGAACUACAGCACUCGAUGUUAGAGUUGUCGUGAAGAUUAAAGAAGGUGACGACUGGACAACUCCCAGCCCAAUACCUGAAACUGUACCAGCACCCAGUGAGCACUGCUAUUCCUGUGACUGCUGCACAUUUGCCUUAUCUCAGCAGUAUGCCUGUGUCACUUUUUUGGCACUCUUUUCUCAUGGGUACAUUCAGAGAAGAGGAAUGUUUGUUCACUGGUGAAGAGAACAUCCCGUGUACUAUCGUGUAGAAGUUGUAGUAGACGCUGUGGUCUUUCCAACAACAAACAAAGGCUGAGAGCUCCAAGGAGCUGUGAAUCACACCUCCGACUCCCCCCAGGGUACAGGAACGGGGUUCAGAAUGCUCUUCCCAAAGCUGCUGGGACAGGACCCAGGAGGUUCCGGAGGAUCAGGAGGUCCACCUGGGAGAAGAGCUGAUCGGCUAGUAGGAGAGCUGGAAAAGCAACAGACACCUACUUAGUCCCUUCCCUGGGGCCCGGCUCCAGUCUGAGCUGUCACGCCACAGCAAAGGCAUCACUUCAGGACAGCAAAGCCCCUGUCUCCCUCCCUUCCAGCUCCUCAGACUUCACCCUGGUAACACGUUUGUUUAAAAAACAUAUUUUUCCCCCUUGUAAAGAAUCUAGGAUACAAGGGGUCAGCCCAGCAGUUUAGGUAUCAAGAAGAAACUGCUCUCGGAGCUAAAGUAAGAAACAGUGCCUGUCUAUAGCGCAAAUAAAGAGUUGGAACAAGA